AUUGAACGCUGGCGGCAGGCCUAACACAUGCAAGUCGAGCGAGCGGCGGACGGGUGAGUAAUGUCUGGGAAACUGCCUGAUGGAGGGGGAUAAAUACUGGAAACGGUAGCUCAUACCGCAUACCAUCAGAUGUGCCCAGAUGGGAUGCGCUAGUAGGUGGGGUAACGGCUCACCUCGGCGACGAUCCCUAGCUGGUCUGAGAGGAUGACCAGCCACACUGGAACUGAUACACGGUCCAGACUUCUACGGGAGGCAUCAGUGGGGAAUAUUGCACAAUGGGCGCAAGCCUGAUGCAGUCAGGCCGCGUGUGUGAAGAAGUCCUUCGGGUUGUAAAGCACUUUCAGCGGGGAGGCUUUACCCGCAGAAGAAGCACCGGCUAACUCCGGGCCAGCAGCCGCGGUAAUUC
rnacentral:rRNA from 1 species